rnacentral:tRNA from 1 species
GCAGAGGUCUAGGGUGGAAAAAGUCAAAGUCUGAAAGACAAACAAACUUGGGCAGUGAACUUCUAAAUAGCAGAUAUAGGGA